UUUUUUGAGAGUUUGAUCCUGGCUCAGGAUGAACGCUGGCGACGUGGAUAAGGCAUGCAAGUCAAGGGGGCCCGCAAGGGCAACCGGCAGAUGAGUUAGUAACACGUAGAUUACCAACCCCUGCCACGGCCAUAGCUUAUCGAAAGAUGAGGUAAUAGCCGAUGGUAUUUGGGUUUAAAACCUUAUUAAAGGUCUUCCGCAAGGAAGGCCGGGCGGGGAUGGGUCUGCGGCUUAUCAGCUAGUUGGUAGGGUAAUGGCCUACCAAGGCUAUAACAAGUAGGGGAUGUGAGAGCACGACCCCCAACGAUGGGACUGAAACACGGCCCAUACUCCUACGGGAGGCAGCAGUCGAGAAUAUUGGACAAUGAGGGAAACCUUGAUCCAGCGACGUCGCGUGCUUGAAGAAGCCCUUCGGGGCGUAAAGAGCUUUUCUGAGGGAUGAAUCUUCGGAUGACAGUACCUCAGGAAUAAGAGGGGGCAAACUCUGUGCCAGCAGCAGCGGUAAUACAGAGCCCUCAAGCGUUAUCCGGAUUUAUUGGGCGUAAAGAGUCUGUAGGUGGUUUGUUAAGUUUUCUGUUAAAUAUCCAGAGCUCAACUUUGGAAAUGCAGGAAAUACUGACAAACUAGAGGGCGUUAGAGGUUGGCGGAACGGUCGGUGUAGGGGUGAAAUCCGUUGAUAUCGACCGGAACCCUAAAUGCGAAGGCAGCCAACUGGGGCGACCCUGACACUGAGAGACGAAAGCGUGGGGAGCAAAAAGGAUUAGAUACCCUUGUAGUCCACGCUGUAAACUAUGGAUACUGGCUANNNNNNNNNNNNNNNNNNCAAGUGGCGAAGCUUACGCGUUAAGUAUCCCGCCUGGGAAGUACGGUCGCAAGACUAAAACUCAAAGGAAUAGACGGGGAUUUACACAAGCGGUGGACCAUGUGGCUCAAUUCGACGACAAACGAGGAACCUUACCAGGGUUUGAAAUUCUGCUAAAUCCCGAAUGAAAAUUUGGGGU
rfam:Candidatus Nealsonbacteria bacterium RBG_13_42_11 RBG_13_scaffold_3174, whole genome shotgun sequence.